rnacentral:rRNA from 1 species
UACGGGGGGGGUAAGCGUUGUUCGGAAUUACUGGGCGUAAAGGGCGCGUAGGCGGCCGAUCAAGUUAGAUGUGAAAGUCCUGGGCUUAACCUGGGGACUGCAUUUGAUACUGAUUGGCUUGAAUUCGGGAGAGGAUAGCGGAAUUCCCAGUGUAGAGGUGAAAUUCGUAGAUAUUGGGAAGAACACCGGUGGCGAAGGCGGCUAUCUGGACCGACAUUGACGCUGAGGCGCGAAAGCGUGGGGAGCAAACAGG